rnacentral:lncRNA from 1 species
CAUAAACAACAGAGAAAACAAGCAACCAACCAACCAGUACUUUAUUGUGAGAAAAUACAGAGAUGAAAACAAAAACCAUAUUUUUAUUUUUCAAUAUUUAUUUUUCUCUAACCAGCCUCAAGACCAUAAGAGUAUAUCAGCAAUUUAUUUAAAUUAUUCUGAGUUUGUUAAAUUAAUAAAUACCAAGGAAAGAACCAUUUACAAGUCUUUUACAGAGCUGUCACUUACUUUAAUUUCAAUCUGGGGACUUGAGCUGUCCUUCCCUGGGCUAUGGAUGAAAUGGGACCAAGGAGAUGCUGAGCUGGUUUUGCUUAGAUGUCACUAAAAUGGGCGAUUCAAGGGGCAAUAUUCAGCAGUAAAACAGAAAUGAAAACUAAAAUAUGAGUAGCAUAUCCAAGUCAUUUAUCAAUUUUAAGGCAAAGAAAGAGAAAAAUUCAUAUAUGAGGACCCUGGAUCAGGUUGGAAGAAGGGGUUUUGAACCAGAUGAAACAUAAUGAUUCUCUUGGGCUCUAAAAAUGUGGCUACCUCUGCUUUUCGCAAAACACUUGUGACCUUGAAGGAUAGGGAGAGGAACUGUGCAAGUAAUUCUCAAUUCAUUGGUUGAAAAUGAACAUCAGUGAUUGCUCAGCAAAACUCAGCAAAUCAGCUAUUUGCUAACACAGGUUCUAAAGCACUCCAAGUUUAAUUUGUUCUAUAUCAUCCCAAGAUUAUUUAUUGUUCACAAACUGCCAGGAGCUGAAAAUAAAGCAAUGCAUGGGCCCACUCUCUGUACUCCUGGAAUAUUUUAGAGGUGUCAGACUCCAAAAAGCAAUAAUAACAAAAUUAAUUUGAAUUCACAUUAUAAGCAUACGAUCUUGAAUCAUUUGGGAAAGGAUAAAAAGAAUGUGGUAAACCUACUAUAUUGUAGCAGCAAUUUGUAGCUCUGAAAAGCAUGAGGUUAUUGAAGCUGGGCUCAAAUGCUACUCCUACUCCCAUGCUUUUCCAAAUUAAGCAAGCUUCAUCUCUGGAAAGUUCUUCAGAUGCAAGUAUUCAUUCAGACAAUGAGUGUGGUCUCAUUUAACGGACUCAUUAUCUCUCCGUUUUAGAAAUCUGUCUUCAAAGCAGUUGGCAGAUUUGAUUCCUGGCCAACAUACCAAAUACUCUUCAUGGGAGCUCAUAAUGUUUAAAACAAAAAAACUUUGGAAGUGUCGUAGAUCACGUAGGUACUCUGCUCUUAACUCCUACUCUCCUGGUCUGGACCACACAGUUGAGCAGUGGGUUAGCUGCUUAUUAGCCACUCUAUAAAUACUUGUUGACUCAACGAGUGUGUGUGAGGUUUCAUGGUUUGCUAAUUGUUUGCCCUCUAUAAGUCAUAUUUCCCCAAAUGGAAUGUAAACAAUGUGAUAUUCAAAGCAAUGAUGUUCAUUCUCUUUACAUAUCAUCCCUUAGUCUUUUCUUCUAAAAUAUUCAGAAAAGGAGGGGGAAAACCAUCUUUUUAUCUUUCAACGUGAUUUUUCUACACAAACUGUAGCGAGAUGUUGAGUUACUAUCAGUAGGCUGCCUGAGAGCCAAACUGUAAUAAGUUCAGGAAAUGAAGCUCAUUCCAACUUACAUUUGUAAUCAUUUUUAUGUCUCUUUAGAAGAAGAAAGAAGCUUUGAAAAAAAGAAAGGAUGAUGGUGAUGAAAUAAACACAGGAAAUAUUUAGUGGAGUUCAGUGAGGACCAUAUAAAUCAGAAAAAAAUAUUGCUGUCUGCUUGAGGUAGAGAAAGAGAAAGGGAAGACUUUGCAAUAAAUUCUGCUUGAAAUGACAGAUGACUACAAAACAGCUUUGUAUACAUGAGAUGGGAUUUGACUUGCAUUAUAAACAAAUGCCUUUUAUACUUGCAUGCUAUUAGUCAUUGCCCAAAUUGGUAGCAGAACCAGCAGAACUGGUGGUUGAAUUCAGGUAUUCUAUCAUUCACCCAAUGCACACUUGGGAUUUGCUUUUAGACAAAGAAUUGCUUUUCUUCAUGUUGAACUUUACUAAGAUAAAACAGACAGUUGUGCUCAGCACUUAAACUGGGUGUGGGGCUCUCUGACAUAUUUCAACCUUUUGAAGCAUAACCUCCCAAGAAGCAGUAGACCAAAACCCACCCUAAUAUUUUUCUGUAUUUUUCUAUGAUAGGAGCACUAUCAAGAGAUUUUUGAGAGUAAUAAACUCUUUUUUAAAACAUUCACCCAUAUUUGUAAAAUUAAAAUCCCCCCCAAUAGAUACUUUUGAAUACUGAAUAUAUUAAAAACAAAGUAAUGCAGAACCAAGGGUAGAAAGGAGGCUGGGCCUUGCUUUUUAAUACUCUCUAAAGCAGAAAGGAGCCUACAUCUCGAAACAUUCAAAAAGUUAAAAUGCAAGUAUGAGUAUCAUAAAAUAUUUAAAUUAAUCCAAUUUAAUAUUUUUAAUCCUUAAAACUGUGGUGACCACUUGAUGUAAAUCCUCCAAAUUCUCAGUCUCUGCCUACUUGCAGACUUUGCCUUUUCUACUACUUUCUAUGUUUUGGGGAGGGUUUAGUCUAAUUAUAUGGUAGCAAUAUUAACUCA